GCCCUUUGGGGUGAGGUAGUAGGUUGUUUAGUUGUGGGUUGCACCCUGACGUUUGGAUAACUAUACAAUCUACUGUCUUUCCUGAAGUGGCUG